CAGGACGAACGCUGGCGGCGUGCUUAACACAUGCAAGUCGAGCGAUGAAGCUUCUUCGGAAGUGGAUUAGCGGCGGACGGGUGAGUAACACGUGGGUAACCUGCCUCAUAGAGGGGAAUAGCCUUCCGAAAGGAAGAUUAAUACCGCAUAAGAUUGUAAUAUCGCAUGAUAUAGCAAUUAAAGGAGCAAUCCGCUAUGAGAUGGACCCGCGUCGCAUUAGCUAGUUGGUGAGGUAACGGCUCACCAAGGCGACGAUGCGUAGCCGACCUGAGAGGGUGAUCGGCCACAUUGGGACUGAGACACGGCCCAGACUCCUACGGGAGGCAGCAGUGGGGAAUAUUGCACAAUGGGGGAAACCCUGAUGCAGACCAACGCCGCGUGAGUGAUGACGGUCUUCGGAUUGUAAAGCUCUGUCUUCAGGGACGAUAAUGACGGUACCUGAGGAGGAAGCCACGGCUAACUACGUGCCAGCAGCGGC
rnacentral:rRNA from 1 species